rnacentral:lncRNA from 8 species
UUACUUUAGAUGCUGUUCUGUGAAAAGUGUCAUCACCAAUUUUGAGUUUGCCUUGGAAAUCGGAUUUAAGCCCAAAGUACAUCAGGAGGAAGCAUGGUAAACAAACAUUACUGAUGUUUACUUGUGGAGUCUUUAGAAAGGGUGUUCAAUACCCGCUCAAUUCUAUUCUUUAAUUCGAAUUUGUACAGUUUGCCCUGUCCCCAUUGACUGUCUCAGUAAAACUGCGGUGAGAAAAGGUCAAUAAUAUGACAUGCUGCUGUCUUUAUACUAGUGAGCAGACAGACCAACUAGAUUAUAACGAAAAGUGUCACUUCAACUUCAGCUGAAUGUAUUCUUCAUGACUGUUUAGAAAAUACAUUAAAACAUUUAUUUCUGGUGAUGUACUUCUAACUAUCAAUCAUGCCCCUCCUGAGACAAACUCAAAAUACUACACUCACCACGACCAUCACGCACCGUAAUGACCAUUGUAUUCCUUUUAUUCCUCAGUGCUAUCUGUGCUAUAAUAAUCUGGGGCGAGCACUGUAACAGUGUGGAAAGGCUUGCCGACACAGCCAGCUCUCCACAGACCCCCAGAACACAGAGGCAAUGGCCUCUGGAGCAAAUUGUUAUUUCAAUUUGAGCCAGACCACGGAACGAGGACAUCACAUCACAACGUGGGGAGCCAGGGACGGAACAUGACCGGGGGCCUCAAACAGGAUCAGGUGCUCCAAACCCUGUCAAGACCAACUAAAGCCAGUCACCUUGCUUUUAGAAUCCUGCUCCUCUCAGACGCAGUUCACGGCAAUAAAGAAGAAACAUCAGGCGCUUUAUUGCAGAAAACGAGAGCACAAAGUGGAUCCAGCAAAGCCACAGGCAGGUAAAGGUCGAGUUAAGCUGGAGGAGCGAUGGGCCUGGUUUGUCAAGGGCACCUCUAACGUUGAUUGGCCAGUUGAGACACCUUCUCCUUCGGUGUGGUGGAAAACAUUGUCACGUCCUGACCAGUAAAGGGGUUAUUUUGUUAUUGUAGUUGAUCAGGACGUGGCAGGGGUGUGUUUGUUUUGUGUGUUUCGGGGUUUUUGGUUUAUGUUCUAUGUUUUCUAUUUCUAUGUGGGUUUUCUAGUUUGUCUAUUUCUAUGUUAGUUUUGGGAACGACCUCCAAUUAGAAGCAGCUGGUUGUCGUUGCUUCUAAUUGGAGGCCAUAUUUAAGUGGGUUUAUUUUCUCGGGUGUUUGUGGGUGGUUGUUUCUUUGUAUAGCUGUGUAGCCUUACAGGACUGUCGUUUGUGUUCACGGUUAAAAAAUAAAAGUAUAAGUAUGGACACUUACCACGCUGCGUAUUGGUCCGAUAUUUCUUACUCCUCAGAAGACGAAGAUUAUGACAAACAUUUUUCAGGGUAAAUGCAGUUAUAUUGAGAGGAUAUGUUGGAGAUGUCUAAAAAAAAAUGUAAACAUCUGAUGAAGCAUCAGUUUUUUUAUUUCAGUUUCUUUUACAGUUUUAGAGGGUAACUUGCCUUACAGUUCACCUUGUAGUGCAGCCAAGCAUACAAAAAGUGCAUGGUAAUUCUGAUAUACCACACAAUAUUCCCUAAUACAGUACGUUUCCCACAGUUGGAAAACCCCACCUGGCUUCAAAAGUAAAUUGUUUGCCAUCUAUAAAGAGGAGUUGUCAGUCACAAUUAGUAUUUGUUUCUUUGAGAGGGACCCAGAACACAUACCAACUCAAUAUAUUUGUCCUUAAUUCCAAUAUAGAAUAUUGAAAUCCAAUUUAAUUGAUCCAAUAUAGAAAUGAGGCAGUGCAUUAAUAUCACAAUUUCCUAGAAACUGCUUUAAAUUUUUUAAUUACGACCAGCAAUUAUUUUCCUCUGCUAGUUUGUGGCCAUCAAUUUGGAUUAGCCAAUUACUCUGAGCGUCUAAAGGCACAUUUCUCUUCUGCAGCUUGACUGCCUAGGCACUUCCUUGAGGAAACCUUUCAAGACAGGACUUUUAAAUAGGGAUAAUGGGAGUGGAUAUGGAGGGUAGGCCUUUGAACUGGCCCCUCAGCUUCAGGUUCCUCCUCCAGUAGGAUCUAGAAUGCAACUGCCUGCAAGGCCAUUGGGAAUUGAUGAGGUAGCGAGCACUACCUUUAAUCUAGCUCUAUCUUUAAUCUUUCAAAUUGUACAGACUUUUUGGGUAAACCAUUACUGUUAGAAUGUAAUCCACUUUAUUAAUGUGUCUGUAUCACUGUUUACUAAACUCUAUACCUAGUGUAAAGUAUAUCAAAUAACAAUAAACAGUAAAAAGCUCUAUAAAACUUUUCUUGCGCUGAUAUGAACAUUGUGUCUUCCUGCAAGGCUUUGAAUCAAAACGGACCAAACCCAGAGUAGGAUUAGGAGAUGCUUGAUAUGAACAUUGUGUCUUCCUGAAGGGCUUUGAAUCAAAACGGACCAAACCCAGAGUAGGAUGAGGAGAUGUUUGAUAUGAACAUUGUGUCUUCCUGAAGGGCUUUGAAUCAAAACGGACCAAACCCAGAGUAGGAUGAGGAGAUGCUUGAUAUGAACAUUGUGUCUUCCUGAAGGGCUUUGAAUCAAAACGGACCAAACCCAGAGUAGGAUGAGGAGAUGCUUACCAUCAUAUCUUUUUCAAAAUCCUCAUAAGUCACAGUAUUUUUCGACAGCUUCAGGGUAAAAAAAGCAUGUUGAUGACUGUGGAUGGUCAUAGUCAACAACUGCCACCUCCAGAGAUGAAGAAAGGACCUCCCAACCUGUCCAAAAUAUCGAACUCUUCAGGACCUCUGAUGAACUUACAAAAGACCCCCACACGUCAAUAUUCAAUAAAGAGCAGUAUGACUAUACAAAAACACA